CGGGGCGCUCCUCUCCCUACAGAGACGUCAUGUAUCCUGUCUCUAGAGAGUGCUCAGAAGAAUCCAGAGCUCUUGUCUUAUUAAUGCAUUUGCUGGUAAUUGCUCUGGGUCUUCUCUCCAGAACCCAGCCUGUGUAAAAUUCACGUGUUCCUCGCAGCCAAGAAGGUACAGGAGGGCACGGCUUAUGCCAAGAGACAAAGAGGAACCGAACAAAACCCGGUCCCAGGACAGACGCCUGUAGCGCCUGCGACAGAACGCGUUUGCCCUCGCGGAACUGUUUAGCCGGCUGGAUGGGCUGAAGGACACGUCUUUCUCAACACCCCAAGAACGCCCAGACAUGUGCUGUUCCAAGUGUGCUGUGACUGUGGAAGAAGAGAAGAGAGGAUGCUGGGGAACAACUAGCAAGCAGUCUCUUUGCCGCAUCAUCCUGAUGACUUUCUUCUCCUUUCCUUGGACACAGAACUUUAACUAGGAGUUCAUAAGCAUACCUUACA